rnacentral:lncRNA from 10 species
CGCCCUGGAGAACCGAGGCGCAGCCUGGGGACCAGCAUCCCACUACAGCCCCGCCCGGGCAGCCUGGGAGGGGCCCUUUGACCUUGACCCCGCUCCUUGAAAACGCUGGAGCCGCUGAGAGCUUGCAGAGCUUGGCGUUGGCUUGGUUUGAUUUAUUUUGAUUUUCCCUAUUGAUGGCAAAGGAAAAAAAAAAAAAAAAGAAUGUAGGGGAGGUGGCACAGGGAAAUAAAGUGGGACAGAAGAGGAGAAAGAGUAUUGGCAAAAGGAAAAGGAACCGAACACCCAGUGCGUAAUAAUGAGAGCGAUAACAGCAAUGUUGGGUGCCGACCCUGGGCCAGGUCCUGAGCUGGCAGGUUGCAGGGAUUUACAGCAUGACUCCUGUGAGGUUUGAUACUCCUCUUUUCAUCUCACACGUGACGAACUGGAAGCACAGACGUUUAGUUGUUUCCUGAGGGUCACUCAGCAAGCAAACUGUGGUGCUCACGUUGCAACCCAAGGCUGGGGACUCCAAGGGUAAUACGUGUAUCUGUUUCUGCCACAAGCAGUGUCCUUGGAAGUCUUACAACUCCACAGACCACGUACUUCCUGGGCCAAAGAGCACUCCUAGUCUUUGGGGGGAUAGAAACUGAGAGAAGCAAAGAGAGACCUCCACCAUUCCAAGGUGGGACAUGUUAAAGUCCUGUUCGUGGAGAAAAGCUUUCGUGGUUGAAUGAGAGAGUUGCAAUUGUAUCUAUUUCUCUAGAGCAUUGCCAGUUGCACUUUUCAAUAAAAAAUCUUCACAUUUAUGUCCUUAUGGCUGUCCAGAGCAUCAUAGGGUAU